CCUACGGGUGGCAGCAGUGGGGAAUAUUGGACAAUGGGGGGAACCCUGAUCCAGCCAUGCCGCGUGUGUGAAGAAGGCCCUCGGGUUGUAAAGCACUUUCAGUGAGGAAGAACGCCUGGUGGUUAAUACCCAUCAGGAAAGACAUCACUCACAGAAGAAGCACCGGCUAACUCCGUGCCAGCAGCCGCGGUAAUACGGAGGGUGCGAGCGUUAAUCGGAAUUACUGGGCGUAAAGCGCGCGUAGGUGGCUUGAUAAGCCGGUUGUGAAAGCCCCGGGCUCAACCUGGGAACGGCAUCCGGAACUGUCAAGCUAGAGUGCAGGAGAGGAAGGUAGAAUUCCCGGUGUAGCGGUGAAAUGCGUAGAGAUCGGGAGGAAUACCAGUGGCGAAGGCGGCCUUCUGGACUGACACUGACACUGAGGUGCGAAAGCGUGGGUAGCAAACAGGAUUAGAUACUCCAGUAGUC
rnacentral:rRNA from 1 species